GACGAACGCUGGCGGCGUGCUUAACACAUGCAAGUCGAACGUGAUUUUUAUGGAAUAGCCUUCGGGAUAGGAAAUAGAAUGAAAGUGGCGAACGGGUGAGUAACACGUGAGCAACCUACCUUACACAGGGGGAUAGCCGUUGGAAACGACGAUUAAUACCGCAUGAGACCACAGAACCGCAUGGUAAAGGGGUCAAAGAUUUAUCGGUGUAAGAUGGGCUCGCGUCUGAUUAGCUAGUUGGAAGGGUAAAGGCCUACCAAGGCGACGAUCAGUAGCCGGUCUGAGAGGAUGAACGGCCACAUUGGAACUGAGACACGGUCCAAACUCCUACGGGAGGCAGCAGUGGGGAAUAUUGCACAAUGGGGGAAACCCUGAUGCAGCGACGCCGCGUGAGCGAAGAAGGUUUUCGAAUCGUAAAGCUCUGUCCUAUGAGAAGAUAAUGACGGUAUCAUAGGAGGAAGCCCCGGCUAAAUACGUGCCAGCAGCCGCGGUAAUACGUAUGGGGGCGAGCGUUGUCCGGAAUUAUUGGGCGUAAAGGGUACGUAGGCAGUCUAUUAAGUCAGGUGUGAAAGCGUGAGGCUUAACCUCAUUAAGCACUUGAAACUGAUAGACUUGAGUGAAGGAGAGGGAAAGUGGAAUUCCUAGUGUAGCGGUGAAAUGCGUAGAUAUUAGGAGGAAUACCGGUGGCGAAGGCAACUUUCUGGACUUUUUCUGACGCUCUGG
rnacentral:rRNA from 1 species